GCUGGAAGGACACGCUCUGCGCUAGUAUGGCCAUUCUCAGGGUCUCGGAGUGGGUGUUCUCUCCAGAAACUGAGGCCUGAGACUAACCAAGAACAAAGAAAAACGCCUGGCACGGAAGGUUUGGGCGAAGUUUUGUACAUAAAUGAUUUGAGGAGGAACACUUCCUCAGAUUUUGGAAGGCAUACAAAUCACUCUUUUUCUUGCUUACAUGUUAAAAAACUUUUAUUUCGUGUUUCCAGAUCAUUUCCUAAUAAGAAAAUACCUUAUAAUUUACAGACAGCAAUUUAUUCUCCCUUACAUUUGCUGACCACUAAAACUGGAUACAGUUUCCUUAAGCUUUACCAGAGUCAGAGGAUUGGGAAUGAUGUGAGCAUAGCAGAGUGCAGAUGCAACAUCAACUCCAACGUCGGCCAGCUGGUUUCCAUCGAGAGGUCCCCCAGGAGAAAGCCCCUCCGAGGCGGCGGCCGGGGUCGGCGCGGGGUAAGACCCCCCGGGGCGGCCCAGUGGCAGCCACGGAGCAGGGCCGAGGUCUGCCUGGCCCCUGUUUACCUUUGUUACAGGUACGCCCGCUCCCAGCCCGGCCCGGGAUCCCGCCCGAGGCCCCGAGCUGGUGACACAUCCUUCUUUGGCCAAGUCGGGCCGAGGUUGGGCAGGGGGCGGGGAAGGAAAAUAAAGCCUCAGCGCCUAACGACGUGACUCUCAGUUCUUCCAAAACGUUGGCAUUUGUUUCUCUGCCAAGCUUUCCUAUUAACAAGUUCCCGAGGGCUGUGCGGGUGAACUGGCCCCGGAGCCCCGAAAGUGGGAGGGACCAGGCCGUCCCCCGCCCGCUCGUCCGUGGGCGCCCCGGGGCAGGCCGUUUUCACACCUCCCGGGCUGACAAGGCCCGGGACCAAGCUGGGCAUGAGGCGGCGCCCGUACCGCCUCGAACCCCGACUUCCGCGGCCGGGCCAGCCCAGCUGGCCCCUCGGGCCAGUCCGGUCCCCGCCCCCAGG
rnacentral:lncRNA from 1 species